UACGUAGGGUGCAAGCGUUAAUCGGAAUUACUGGGCGUAAAGUGUGCGCAGGUGGCCGCGCAUGUCGAGUGUGAAAUCCCCGGGCUUAACUUGGGAAUUGCGCUCGAAACUACGUGGCUCGAGUGUGGCAGAGGAAGGUGGAAUUCCACGUGUAGCGGUGAAAUGCGUAGAGAUCGGGAGGAACACCAGCGGCGAAGGCGGCUCGCUGGGCCGGUCCG
rnacentral:rRNA from 1 species